rnacentral:rRNA from 1 species
AUUGAACGCUGGCGGCAUGCUUUACACAUGCAAGUCGAACGGCAGCGCGGGCUUCGGCCUGGCGGCGAGUGGCGAACGGGUGAGUAAUGCAUCGGAACGUGCCCAGUAGUGGGGGAUAGCCCGGCGAAAGCCGGAUUAAUACCGCAUACGACCUGAGGGUGAAAGCGGGGGACCGAAAGGCCUCGCGCUAUUGGAGCGGCCGAUGUCGGAUUAGCUAGUUGGUGGGGUAAAGGCUUACCAAGGCGACGAUCCGUAGCUGGUCUGAGAGGACGACCAGCCACACUGGGACUGAGACACGGCCCAGACUCCUACGGGAGGCAGCAGUGGGGAAUUUUGGACAAAGGGGGCAACCCUGAUCCAGCCAUGCCGCGUGCGGGAAGAAGGCCUUCGGGCUGUAAACCGCUUUUGUUCGGGAAGAAAUCCUCUGGGCUAAUACCCCGGGGGGAUGACGGUACCGGAAGAAUAAGCACCGGCUAACUACGUG